GCCGGGGUAGCUCAGCUGGGAGAGCAACAGACUGAAGUAAUGAGUAGGCGAUGUUUUCUGGAGGUCCCGUGUUCAAUCCACGGUCCUGGCA